UGUAGAACCAGAUGUGGGAAAAACAUUAAAUUUUGUACAUGAAUUGCAAAUAUUUAAUCAAUUAAAAAAUACUCCCGCGAGUAUAUGGGAACUAAUGAUUACCCCUCCUUACGAAAAUUAUAAACUAAAUCUAAAACGAAAAAGUAUUUUACGUAGCCUAGUAUACCAAUUAACUGCUUCUCUGUACAGUGAUCAAGAAGAACCGCGUGAUUUAACAAGUGGAAAUCAAUCGGAUUGUGAUAAAUGGUAGCAAUAUAGAAAAAUUCUAAUUACAGCGUCAAAAAUAAAAUAUUUAAACGUGAAGAAAAAUGAGGAACAGAUCUUUAACUGGAUUAAAUAUCACUUAAUUUUGGGUUUAAAGUCACUCGCAGCUGCUUAUGGGUAAAUCCAAAAUAUCCAGGAAUAGGAUCUUCCCCAGAUGGACUUGUUACAGAUGUACCUACCAAAUCAUAUGGUUUGCUGGAAAUUAGUCCAAAGGUUUUAGAAAAUAUUGAACCAACAGAUAUACAUACACUAACACCUCAACAAAGAAGUUCGUUCUGUUAUAUCUUCCAAACGCCGAAGUCAAUGAAAUUGAAAAGAAAUCAUCAGUAUUAUUAUCAAAUUCAGACGCAGAUGGCAAUAACCGGAAGACAAUGAACCAGUAUUGAAUAAUAUAAGUAUUUUCCAUCAAAACAUUUUGACGCUAGAGUAUUUCGAGAUGUGUAUUCUUCGAGAUUUAGCGCCAUUUGAUUUAUCUCUAAGCCUAAACUAAAGAAAAAAUUAAUUAUUUUACAAUAAUUAUAGGUGACAGUAAUUUUUAUAUUUCAACGAC